AUUUUGCAAAGAGAGCUUCCUUCAGUCCACUCAUGGGAGGUGGUAAGAUUUAAUUAACUGCCGACUCAUUCACCCAAAUACCAAGUAAAGAAGGGAGCCACUGCUUGGUAGAUGAGCGAAUGAUGCGGGAGAUAAGUUGGAUCUUAUGCUUCCCGUUCUUGGACUGAAGGGAGCUCCCUUCACAAAUCAU
rfam:Nelumbo nucifera unplaced genomic scaffold scaffold00009, whole genome shotgun sequence